CUAGAUCUUGCAAUAUUGCAAUUUACAUGUAUUAUUUUAUAGCCGUAUCAUUGUUUAAAGCUACAGUGUGCAUGAUUUAGUGUCAUCUAGUGGUGAGAUUGUAGAUUGCGUUAUGCCAUUGUCUGGCAUGAUUUUAGAUCGGAGAGAGC